UACUACCAAUGAUGAAUUAAGUUAUCCCUGUCAUAUUAUUUGUGUGGUUGAAAUAAAAAAAUCUGAGGUAGAU